rnacentral:lncRNA from 1 species
CUGAACAUAGAAAAUGAUAGUGCAAAUUUCAGGUUAAAGUUUUUGGCUUCAGGUUAAAGUUUUUGGUCAAGGUAGUUUUUGAUGAAGUUGAAGUCCAAUCAACUUGAAACUUAGUAUACAUGUGCCCUAUGAUAUGAUCUUUCUAAUUUAAAUGCCAAAUUAGAGUUUUGACCCCAAUUUUACGGUUCACUGAACAUAGAAAAUGAUAGUGCAAAUUUCAGGUUAAAGUUUUUGGCUUCAGGUUAAAGUUUUUGGUCAAGGUAGUUUUGGAUGAAGUUGAAGUCCAAUCAACUUGAAACUUAGUAUACAUGUGCCCUAUGAUAUGAUCUUUCUAAUUUUAAUGCCAAAUUAGAUUUUUACCCUAUUUCACGGUCCAUGGAACAUGGAAAAUGAUUGAGUGGGGCAUCCGUGUACUUUGGACACAUUCUUGUUAUAUAUGUUUUUGUUUGCAUUU